UAAUGAGCAGCUAGUAGUCUCAUUUAGGGACAUUCACCUGCCUGGGCACAGUGGAGAUGAUUAGAUGAGAACCGGCCCUUUCAGGUUAGUACCCAAGGAUCCACUUUCUAAAAGGAGAGUGCCUGCACAGAUUAAUUUUUGAGCCAAGCUGGUCUUGCAAGGCUGGGUCUCUUCCCUCACUCUGCUCUUACUGCAUCCUCCACUGCAAAGCACCAGGCCGGGACGAGCAGAGGCAGACAUUGAAGCAAGAGUUUCUGGGAGGUGCUCUGUAGCUCCAUUAUCAUGUGAACAAUAAAAGAGGAUCCUUGGGCUGCUGAGAUGAUUCAGUGGAUACAGCUGCUUUCUGCCAAGUGGGAUGACCUGAAUAUGAUCCCUGGAACCCACAUGGUGGAAGGAAGAGAACCAACUUCCACAAAGCUGUCCUCUGACUCCACACGUAUUCUGUGACACGCAGACGUGCACCCGCGCACAUGCAUGCAUGCAUGCAGAAGCAAUAAAGACUGCUGUUUGAACGCUGUACUGUAGAAGGCACAGACUGAGAUGCUGGAUCAACUGCGCAUGCCUGUCUUUGUGACCGGCUGCUAUCGAUCCUUCCGAGCCCGUGUGCCACGCUGGAAAGCUGCAUCUAAGAGUUAAGAUUUACUGGCUUAAAAGCGUGUGUGUCGUGGGAUUGCGCGGUGGCUCAGUAAAUUGUGAGAAUUCAAUGUGAACAUCUUUGAAAUGCAGUUUCAAAUCUCCCACACGCUGACAAGAGCCACGUGAACCAUUGUGCAGCACUGCACCCAUUUGACAGAUGAGAGCAUGGAUACCUAACCGGAGCCUGGCAGGUCUUGGACAGCAGAGGCCACCCUGCAUCUGACACCAUCUCUUGUAAUCCAUGACUUCUCUUCCUGCCUCCAUGAAUCUCCAGAUAACAGAUUCCUGCCCUCCUAAAAGAUGGGAACUGACAUCCUAGCAGGCUCCUGGGCGAUGCAGAUGCUGGCAUUCUGGGCACUGCCCUUUGGAAAGCUAUGAUGACCACUGAAGCAGAACAGACCAAAGCAAAGAGGUGGGAAAGUCGCGAGAAGAUACAGGACUGGCUGGGAUACAUCAGGAAGAGGAGCUGCGAUGGAUGGGACUUCAAAUGGAAGUUGGUGAUUAUAUCCGUCCCAGCACCUCCCGCCUUGCAAGAGAGGCCUUAUAAAUCCUGGUCACAAGGAAGGGAAACAGAAGCUCAAGGAAGAGAGAGCCAUGGCUUCCUAGGUGUCAGUGAAGACCCAGACGCUGAAACUAUAACCGCCUAGUUCAGAAACCUAUACUUUGCUUGACCACAAUCCAAGCAGGGGGUGGGGAUGGGAUGUUUUUCUGCAGGGCUGGACAUAGAGUCAGUGUUCAGAGCACAUUGUUGGAGAGAGGAAGGAUGGGUGAGUGAAUAAGUGAAGAAAUGAAUGAGAGAACAGAACCACUUUGAGAGCCUGGAAACCGGGACCUCACGCUCUGUGACCUCACGCUCCAACUUCCCCUCCUCCCCGAGUCUGAUCUGAAAGGUGACCCCCGUUCCUCUCGCCCAGGUGAUAAAGCCAGGUGCAGGUGCACCUGUUACCCAAACCUGAUAUCCAAAUAGGAAGUAAGGCUGAGAUAAGGCUGUGGAGGGCAGUGCCUGGAAUCACGGGGUUGGGCUGGCCAUUGGCUUGAUGCCACAAGUGUCCACCGAGCCUCUCCUAAAGGUUGAGCUCUAUGCCAGGUUCCUUCAGGGUGAGGCAGGAAGCCACGCAGCUCCUGACCUCCAACAGCUUAUGGAAAAAAAAAAUACUUACAAACAGGAUGUGGGUCGGGCAAAGGGAGAAGUGUGAAGCAGGUGGCCAUUGCUCCCUGACAGCUCCAACAGGGAGUUGGGACUGAGAGAUGAGAAGAAAUGAGGCAGUAGUUAGUGAUGCCAGGGGAGGGGCCUGACCCUUGCACUGCCAUUGCUGAGGAAUAAGAGGUCCUUAAAGUUUAGCUCCUCAGACCCAGACCCCUCCCCAGUCCUCCUAC
rnacentral:lncRNA from 1 species